rnacentral:rRNA from 1 species
UACAUGGGGUGCAAACGUUGCUCGGAAUCAUUGGGCGUAAAGCGCACGUAGGCGGUUCGUUAUGUCGGAUGUGAAAGCCCUUGGCUUAACCGAGGAAGUGCAUCCGAAACUGGCGAGCUAGAGUACGAAAGAGGAUCGCGGAAUUCCCGGUGUAGAGGUGAAAUUCGUAGAUAUCGGGAGGAACACCGGUGGCGAAGGCGGCGAUCUGGGUCGAUACUGACGCUGAGGUGCGAAAGCGUGGGGAGCAAACAGG